rnacentral:rRNA from 1 species
GUCCAAGCGUUGUCCGGAUUUAUUGGGCGUAAAGCGUGCGCAGGCGGUUAUGCAAGACAGAUGUGAAAUCCCCGGGCUCAACCUGGGAACUGCAUUAGUGACUGCAUAGCUAGAGUGCGGCAGAGGGGGAUGGAAUUCCGCGUGUAGCAGUGAAAUGCGUAGAAAUGCGGAGGAACACCGAUGGCGAAGGCAAUCCCCUGGGCCUGCACUGACGCUCAUGCACGAAAGCGUGGGGAGCAAACAGG